rnacentral:rRNA from 1 species
GGGCCCGCACAAGCGGAGGAACAUGUGGUUUAAUUCGAUGAUACGCGAGGAACCUUACCCGGGCUUGAAAUGCAGAGUAAUAAAGUGGAAACAUUUUAGUCAGCAAUGAACUCUGUGUAGGUGCUGCAUGGUUGUCGUCAGCUCGUGCCGUGAGGUGUCGGCUUAAGUGCCAUAACGAGCGCAACCCCUAUCAUUAGUUACUAACAGGUCAAGCUGAGGACUCUAAUGAGACUGCCACCGUAAGGUGCGAGGAAGGUGGGGAUGACGUCAAAUCAGCACGGCCCUUACGUCCGGGGCGACACACGUGUUACAAUGGAUGGUACAGAGGGCAGCUACUUGGUAACAAGAUGCCAAUCUCCAAAAGCCAUUCUCAGUUCGGAUUGGAGUCUGCAACUCGACUCCAUGAAGCUGGAUUCGCUAGUAAUCGCGCAUCAGCCAUGGCGCGGUGAAUACGUUCCCGGGCCUU